GUGCUCAUUUUGGCAGCACAUAAAGUGGGAAUGAUACAGAGAAGAUUAGAAUGGCCACUGCGCAAGGAUGACACACAAAUUUGUGAAGUGUUCUAUGCCUAC